GUACUUGAACCUCAGAAACUCCAGCUGAUUGUGGGUUUAAGUUAUUCUUGUCUGAUGGUGAAGCUUCUUGUUCCUUAACUUUCACCUUAACACCACCACCAGCUGUAUCAGUAGGAAGAUGCAUUUUUUCAACCUUUUCAUUCGGGUCGGCAUUGCUAGCACCCUUAGAGGGCUCAGCCUGCGAAGACAUUGUUUCUGCUUAAACAAUCAAAAUAAGGUGUAGUUUCUGCUUUAUAUAAAUAACUGGUUAAUCC